AUCUUCCCAUCCUAACUAGCCAAGCUCCUUCUGCUUUCCUGCAGAAGCAUAAGCUGGCUACAGUCUCCACAGGAGUGGUGACACAUUUUGGUCCCAUGGUCAGAGUUCUAAGUCUUGAGAACUGCAGAGAGACCGUGUCUCCAGCUGAUUGCACAGCAAGUGCGAAAACAUACAUCAGCAUGACUAGACCCUGUCCGUGGGUCUGGAGUCACAGAGAUUCAGGAAUCUAGUUAUAUAAUCUUGCCAAGACUCAGAUUAUAAAUAAGGAUAAUAAAUAUAUUUCAUGGAGUAGCUGGGGGAAUUAAAUUAGGAAAUAUGUAUAAACUACAUAAUAUAUCAGCCAUGUGACUAAGGUCUUAUACUUUUACUGAAUCACCACAUGUGUAUUAAGCACUGGCUUUGUGCCAAGUCCUGAGGUGCCAAUGGCAAGAUAAAUAGAUGUGAUUCCUUUAUACCAGGAGAUUAUAUUUCAGUAAACUCAAUACAUGUUUGUAGUUUUUUACUAUUAUUAUAUGGUUUGUCAGUUAUCUAUUGCUAUGUAAGCCUUGAAACUUACAAGCUUGAAACAAACCCUCUUAUCUUUGUUUCUAUAGGCCAGGAAUUUGGGAACCAUUUAAGCUGGUUGUUUCUCACUCAGGGCCACUCAAGCUGAUGGUUGGAGCUGCAGAGUCAUCCGAAGGCUGGACUGAGGCUGAAGAUCUGCUUCCAAGAUGGUGCCCUCACAUGGCUGCUGGCUGGAAGCCUUAGCCCCUCACCAUAAAGCCCUCUCUGUAAGGGUACCUGAGUCACCUCAUAAGGCAACUGGCUUUCCCCAGAGAUUACAGAAGUGGAUGUCAAGAGAAGAAGGUGUUAAGGUUCCUCUCUUCCAAUGAAUAGCAUGGCAGAAACUGUCAAUUAUGCAUCAACAUCUUUUCUCAUCUUCUUGGAAGAAGACAGAGAAUCUAGGAAGGUGCCAGGGAUGCUUUUUCAUCCCAAAGCCCUGUGAGAAAUCCCAUCUCUGGGCAAGAAGAGAAUCUGAAAGCAAAUGGAUGAAGAUGCUAAUGAGGCUCAGAUGAUGAGAGCACACUAGGCUCACAGCAUGCUGACAAAUCCAGAAACCAGCUAUGCUCCCCUUCUGCCUUCCUAAGACUUCAGUUAAGACACUGCACAUGCCUGUCCCUCUGCAGGAAGGUCAUCCAAAGUUAUAUCUUGCUUUAAAAAAACAAAACUUUAAAAAAUAAAAUGUAUGAAAUUGGGUAGUUAUUUGCAUUAUAAAGCAAUUUCAUUUAUUUAAACAGUCUACUGAGCUCAUAUAGGGCAUGAUUUGGGCUAUAGAAAUUCAGUUAGAAUUGAGAUUUACACCAAAGACUAUAAAAGGCCUAGUUUUAUCCCCU
rnacentral:lncRNA from 1 species